rnacentral:rRNA from 1 species
CUUGAAACACGGACCAAGGAGUCUAGCAUGUGCGCGAGUCAUUGGGAAUUACUAAACCUAAAGGCGCAAUGAAAGUAAAGGUCCGCCCGGCGCGGGCCUAGGGAAGAUGGGCGUGUCCGUGCUAUAAACGCGGCCGCUCCGCACUCCCGGGGUGUCUCGUUCUCAUCGCGAGAAGAGGCGCACCAAGAGCGUACACGCUGGGACCCGAAAGAUGGUGAACUAUGCCUGGUCAGGACGAAGUCAGGGGAAACCCUGAUGGAGGUCCGUAGCGAUUCUGACGUGCAAAUCGAUCGUCGGAACUGGGUAUAGGGGCGAAAGACUAAUCGAACCAUCUAGUAGCUGGUUCCCUCCGAAGUUUCCCUCAGGAUAGCUGGCGCUCGUCGCAUACGAGUCUCAUCCGGUAAAGCGAAUGAUUAGAGGCAUUGGGGUCGAAACGGCCUCAACCUAUUCUCAAACUUUAAAUGGGUGAGAUCUCCGGCUUGCUCGAACUUUUCAUUCUGAAGCCGCGAGAAACGGAUCAGAGUGCCAAGUGGGCCAUUUUUGGUAAGCAGAACUGGCGCUGUGGGAUGAACCAAACGCCGAGUUAAAGCGCCUAAAUCGACGCUUAUGGGAUACCAUGAAAGGCGUUGGUAACUUAAGACAGCAGGACGGUGGCCAUGGAAGUCGGAAUCCGCUAA